AGCGGGAUGGUGUAACGGUAACAUGCGAGUUUCAUAGGCUCGCGCUUCGGGUUCGAUUCCCGAUCCCGCCA
rnacentral:tRNA from 1 species